GCUUCCAGCCACAGACGCCGAAUUUCGACGAUUCUUUCUGGUCAACGGUUGUAAAUUAUUGCGUUGAUUAAAAAAGAAAACUUUAUUUAACUCUACUUUUAACUUUACCGUUUCAGAUAAGCGGGUAUUACGUCGCAGUCAUGUGCCGCGGAAAUCCCGCCAAGAUUCAAAUCUGUGGGCGCGGAUUGCCGUGAGCGAGACAGCGGAUACAAACACGACGAUUAUCAACAGAAAUAUCUUUAUUUUCUGCUUGCAACUGGACCGUCUAGAGCGUACACGGUUCCACGGUGUUCUUUGGCUGUAUGUUUUCCACUG